GGGCCCGUAGCUCAGGCGGUUAGAGCGCACCCCUGAUAAGGGUGAGGUCGGUUAGUUCGAGUCUACCCGGCCCACCA
rnacentral:tRNA from 1 species